AGUGGCGGGUUCUUAUACAUGCAAGUCGAGCGGACAGAUGGGAGCUUGCUCCCUGAUGUUAGCGGCGGACGGGUGAGUAACACGUGGGUAACCUGCCUGUAAGACUGGGAUAACUCCGGGAAACCGGGGCUAAUACCGGAUGGUUGUUUGAACCGCAUGGUUCAGACAUAAAAGGUGGCUUCGGCUACCACUUACAGAUGGACCCGCGGCGCAUUAGCUAGUUGGUGAGGUAACGGCUCACCAAGGCGACGAUGCGUAGCCGACCUGAGAGGGUGAUCGGCCACACUGGGACUGAGACACGGCCCAGAC
rnacentral:rRNA from 1 species